UGUCUCCUCCAACUGAUCAAAUAUUGGAUUCAGCCCGCUGCCGCAAGGAAGCGGGCUUUUUUUU
rnacentral:ncRNA from 1 species